CAGCAACUGCAUAAUUCAGGCUGGAGGUGAUUGAGGGUACUGUACACGAGGACAUGUGUAUGGGAACAACAAUACACCAGGCCCCCCCUAUAUUUCUUUUCUUUUCAUGUACGAUUCCUUUUUCCACAAAACAAUUUCUUUGCCCUGACAUACUGCCAAUCCAAUUUGUACAUACAGGUAAUGUUGUUGGCGAUGGUCAAUUGAUUUGAGCAUAUUUGGAGACUAGUGGGCGCGGCUGUACUGCCGAGUCACCACCGGAGAGAGGAUCCCAGAGGAGAUGGGCAGAUGCUCCAGAGGAUUUUGUAAAAACACCAACUUCCUCUUCAUCUAGCUGAUCUUUUCUCGAAAACUUGAGUGACUGGACUUAUGCACUUGUCCCUUAGAGUCAAUGGUCACAUCCUCUUGCGUAUUCAGGCCAGCUCUUCUUUCACCCAAUAUGCCUAUUUCCAAAUAUUCACGUCCUUGGUUCUCUCCCAUCUGACCUGUGACUAAAACUAAAAUUAAUAUGUGCAACUAACAAUGGGGCAUCUCAUGAGAAUGGAGUUGAAACAAUCGAUGUACUGAUGGACAUGUUAUUUUUUUAUUGCGUAUUUGUAUAGUUUGGACCUCCAUCCUGAACAGAUCAACAAUACGAAUGGUGUACUAAUGCCAUUUAACCUUUUUUGUGUCAGGUCAGUUGAUUUUGUACCUNN
rnacentral:lncRNA from 1 species